GGAGGAGUGACAGAGUGGUCGAAUGUACCGGUCUUGAAAACCGGCGUGGGGGCAACUCCACCGUGGGUUCGAAUCCCACCUCCUCCGCCA
rnacentral:tRNA from 1 species